rnacentral:rRNA from 1 species
AUUAUACAGCGAAACUGCGAAUGGCUCAUUAAAUCAGUUAUCGUUUAUUUGAUAGUACCUUACUACUUGGAUAACCGUGGUAAUUCUAGAGCUAAUACAUGCUAAAAACCCCGACUCACGAAGGGGUGUAUUUAUUAGAUUAAAAACCAAUGCCCUUCGGGGCUCUUUGGUGAUUCAUAAUAACUUCUCGAAUCGCAUGGCCUUGCGCCGGCGAUGGUUCAUUCAAAUUUCUGCCCUAUCAACUUUCGAUGGCAGGGUCUUGGCCUGCCAUGGUUACAACGGGUAACGGAGGGUUAGGGCUCGACCCCGGAGAAGGAGCCUGAGAAACGGCUACUACAUCCAAGGAAGGCAGCAGGCGCGCAAAUUACCCAAUCCCGACACGGGGAGGUAGUGACAAUAAAUACUGAUACAGGGCUCUUUAGGGUCUUGUAAUUGGAAUGAGUACAAUUUAAAUCCCUUAACGAGGAACAAUUGAAGGGCAAUUCUGGUGCCCGCAGCCGCGGUAAUUCCAGCUCCAAUAGCGUAUAUUAAAGUUGUUGCAGUUAAAAAGCUCGUAGUUGAACCUUGGGCCUGGCUGGCCGGUCCGCCUCACCGCGUGCACUGGUUCGGCCGGGCCUUUCCCUCUGGGGAACCUCAUGCUCUUCACUGAGUGUGCUGGGGAACCAGGACUUUUACUGUGAAAAAAUUAGAGUGUUCAAAGCAGGCCUAUGCUCGAAUACAUUAGCAUGGAAUAAUGAAAUAGGACGUGUGGUUCUAUUUUGUUGGUUUCUAGGACCGCCGUAAUGAUUAAUAGGGACAGUCGGGGGCAUCAGUAUUCAAUUGUCAGAGGUGAAAUUCUUGGAUUUAUUGAAGACUAACUACUGCGAAAGCAUUUGCCAAGGAUGUUUUCAUUAAUCAGGAACGAAAGUUAGGGGAUCGAAGACGAUCAGAUACCGUCGUAGUCUUAACCAUAAACUAUGCCGACUAGGGAUCGGACGAUGUUAUUUUUUGACUCGUUCGGCACCUUACGAGAAAUCAAAGUCUUUGGG